CCUACGGGUGGCAGCAGUGGGGAAUAUUGGGCAAUGGGCGCAAGCCUGACCCAGCAACGCCGCGUGAAGGAAGAAGGCCCUCGGGUUGUAAACUUCUUUCGUCAGGGACGAAGAAAGUGACGGUACCUGACGAAUAAGCUACGGCUAACUACGUGUCAGCAGCCGCGGUAAUACGUAGGUGGCAAGCGUUAUCCGGAUUUACUGGGUGUAAAGGGCGUGUAGGCGGGAGUGCAAGUCAGAUGUGAAAUUCCAGGGCUGAACCCUGGACCUGCAUUUGAAACUGGAGUGCUUGAGUGAUGGAGAGGCGGGCGGAAUUCCGUGUGUAGCGGUGAAAUGCGUAGAUAUGCGGAGGAACACCGGUGGCGAAGGCGGCCUGCUGGACAUUAACUGACGCUGAGGCGCGAAAGCGUGGGGAGCAAACAGGAUUAGAUACCCGGGUAGUC
rnacentral:rRNA from 1 species